rnacentral:rRNA from 1 species
UUCUAGGGAUAUGCUACUCUUAAGUGGCCUGAUUUGGUUUGAUCUUGGAAGCUAAACAGGGCUGGACCUCCUUAGUAGUGGGAUGGGAAACCACCUGUGAAUAUUGGGAGCCUUCGACU